rnacentral:sRNA from 1 species
GGGGGAUGUGGAGAGCUGGCAGCAUGUCGGCCGAGCUGGGAGUCGGGUGCGCAUUGCGGGCGGUGAACGAGCGCGUGCAGCAGGCUGUGGCGCGGCGGCCGCGGGAUCUCCCAGCCAUCCAGCCCCGGCUAGUGGCGGUCAGCAAAACCAAACCUGCAGACAUGGUGAUCGAGGCCUAUGGAUAUGGGCAGCGCACUUUUGGCGAGAACUACGUAAGAGCCCUUUUCUGAAGCCCUUUGGAAGCAUCAUGAUUGCCAGGCUUCUGACUUGUUCUGUUUUGACCUUUUAGGUUCAGGAACUGCUAGAAAAAGCAUCAAAUCCCAAAAUUCUGUCUUUGUGUCCUGAGAUCAAAUGGCACUUCAUUGGCCACCUACAGAAACAAAAUGUCAACAAAUUGAUGGGAAAGUCUGAGUUCUUAAUAAAAAGAGAAAACAUCAUGCCAAGAACAGAAUGAAUUCACCAUUUUCUGGGUUAUAUAUACUUGGAAACCUACCCAACCUCAUGUUUAUUAUUAUUUGGUGGUCUUUCAGAAAAAUUAUAAAGAAUUGUAGCCCAUAAAUUUUUUUAACUAGCAAAAGAGACAUUUCUGUUCUUUUUCCUUUAAAUAAAAGCUACAGUAAAUAAAAUACAAUACA